rnacentral:rRNA from 1 species
AUUGAACGCUGGCGGCAUGCCUUACACAUGCAAGUCGAACGGCAGCACGGGUGCUUGCACCUGGUGGCGAGUGGCGAACGGGUGAGUAAUACAUCGGAACAUGUCCUGUAGUGGGGGAUAGCCCGGCGAAAGCCGGAUUAAUACCGCAUACGAUCUACGGAUGAAAGCGGGGGACCUUCGGGCCUCGCGCUAUAGGGUUGGCCGAUGGCUGAUUAGCUAGUUGGUGGGGUAAAGGCCUACCAAGGCGACGAUCAGUAGCUGGUCUGAGAGGACGACCAGCACACUGGGACUGAGACACGGCCCAGACUCCUACGGGAGGCAGCAGUGGGGAAUUUUGGACAAUGGGCGAAAGCCUGAUCCAGCAAUGCCGCGUGUGUGAAGAAGGCCUUCGGGUUGUAAAGCACUUUUGUCCGGAAAGAAAUCCUUGGCCCUAAUACGGUCGGGGGAUGACGGUACCGGAAGAAUAAGCACCGGCUAACUACGUG